rnacentral:lncRNA from 1 species
ACUCCUUUUCCUAGUUGUAAAGUGAUAUUUUCGCUUAAAAUAAAACGAGACACGAUUGAUCGAUCAUAUGCUUUGCCUUCUUGUUAUAUUUGUGAUGGGAAAAAUAUAGGCUUUCCAGGCCCGCAUACCAAGUCCAGCAAGGAGUUGAAGAUGUUAUUUCUUUUUUGUGUAAUGUGUCGGCUGAUUUUAUAAAGAGAUAUGGGAUUAGGAAAUUAUAUCAAAUAUACAAAUCAGAGAUAAAGAGAAAAGGAAAAUAUACAAAAGCUAAUGGGAUUAGGAAAGGCAAUAGCUUUUGGUAUAAAUAUAAGACGUCUAGACCUGAUUUGAGCAUCCGAUUGAAAAGAGAGAGAGAGAGAGAUCAAGAGAAUUAGCAAUUUAAAAAGAGUGUUUUAUUGCUUCGUCUUGUGACCUUUAUCGCAUAAAGUUGGUUUAAAUCCUCUAACAAUUUGUUUUUUUUUUCUCUUCCUAUCUCGUUCAUAAACUGCAACAUAAUGUUGAAAACACUUAGCAAAAAAAAAAAUGUUGAAAACAGAAAAGUCAUGGGUCGUAUCAGAUUCUACCAUUACUAGCAAGUUUGGACAUCGUCCUCCUUCUACCUAUUCCAUGAAGAUCCAAAGCCUCUCUCAACUCAAGACUCUCUUCUCCGGUACUGACGGAUACAAAUCCCGUACCUUCUCUUCCGGCAAAUAUAACUGGAAGUUGGUUGUAUAUCCCAAAGGAAACGAAAAAGACAACGGGACAGGGUUUGUCUCAAUGUACGUUGAAUUAGAUAGCGAAAGCGCCUCGUCCACUAUCUUGGCAUAUCUCACCUUUUUCAUCUACAACAAGAAAGAAAACAAAUACUUUACUAUUCAAGACGAUGAAGAGAAGCAGUUCAAUGCAUUAAGACCGGUGCAUGGGUUUCCGCAAGUACUUCCGCUUGAUACGUUCAACGAUCCUAAAAACGGAUACGUAUUUGAUGGAGAUGAUCAGUGUGAGUUUGGCGUUGAUGUGAUGGUUCCACUUACCAAUUGGGAAGUUGUCUCCAAUACCCAGGAAUACUCCAAUACAAAAUUCUGUUGGACGCUCGAAAACUUCUCUGAGUUGAAAGAGCAUUGCUACGUAUCAAGCAAGAUCUUAGUGGGAGGAAGGAAUUGGGUGCUUAAGCUGUAUCCUAAAGGCCUAAACACUAUAUAUUCCGCAUGGUUGUCCCUCUUUCUGCAUAUAGCCGAUGAUGAAACAGUGAAGACAGGUGAGGAGACUUACGUGCAGUGUGAUAUGCGAAUUCUCGACCCGUUUGGAUGCGACCACUUGACUAAAAAGAUUAAUCAAAGGUUCGGCAACUCCAUCCCAACUUGGGGCUGGCAUAAAUUUGUGUCGUUGGCUAAUCUUGAGAAGGUUUACUUGGACAAUCUAGGUUCUUUGGAAGUAGAGAUACAUUUUAAAGUUGUUUCGUCCACCAAAUAUUCAUGAAGAUCUAGUUGUUUAUUCAGAUUCUGGGGUUUUUAUAUUUAUUGUUUAGAAGAUUAGUUACUACCUAUCGCUAUUUAGCUUUGUUUUAAAAUUUGUGAUGAGUCUAUUAAAUAUAAAAGAUCUUUUUACAUUUUUGUUAUUUUAUAUAUAAAAAACUACAUAUAUUUCAAAAAAAUCCAUAUCAAAUUCAAACCGAACUGAUAAACAUAGUCCGUAAGUAUCAAAAAAAAGAACAAAGAAAACAGAAGAGGAAAUCAAAACUAGUAAAGUCAGACGUUCCUUUCCUUCUUUCAUACAUUCAUGACACUUUGAUUAUUAUUCGAUGAAUCAAUUUAAGUCAAUCUUAUUCUUAUCAAACAAUUAAAAAAAGUUUAAAAGUAGUUUCAUUUGGAAAUUUUGCACGCAUAUUAAAAAAUUAUCUAAAAACUCCAUUUUAUUUUUUGUUCACACAUUAAAUAAUUUUUUUAAUAAAACAUUAAAAUAAUAAAGAUAAAAAUGAAACAAAAAUAAAAUUUUAAAACGACACUCUUUGCUAAACGGAAGAAAUCUAUAUAAUAAUAAAGUAGAAGAGAAACUCUCCAUAAUGCGUCACGUCAUCUCUUCUACCUCCAUUUUGCGACAAGUGUCGAGCAGAGAGAGAGCUUUUUUUUUUUUUGCUUCUAAUUCAUGGAGUUUUUUAUGUGUUUCUAACUCGUGGAGGAGUAGUCGGACUUUCUGUUUAUUCAUUGAGCUUUAAUACUUUCAUUUUUCUGGCCCUCCUGGUGUUUAGGUUUAUGCUCUUCUCCAGUUUGACGCCGUAACUCAUUGUUAGCCAUCUUUUCUAAUGAGAAUUCCUGUAACGUUUCUCCCUUUCUUAAAUUAUUGCUUUAAUUCAAUCAUUAAACUCCACCCACCACUCUUCCUACUCCGUCUCAUUUAUUCAGAUUUACGUUUGUAACAUAUAGAAGCUCGACCUAUAAAAAAGUGUCCUCGAUGUGAUGAAGACCUACACUGUUCUAAUCUCUUAUAGCCAAACCAUCUUUAAAAUAGGGCAAAAGCCAAUCACCCAAAACCUUUCAUGACUUGCUAUUAUAUUCGCAUCACUUUUUUUUCUUCUUCCGCCAGAAUUAACUCCAAUCCUCCACUCCUCGGCAAUUAAAUAGUUUUUUCUUAAUAACGACAUCAGUCAUAGCAGAUUACCAAUCGAUGAAUUCCUCAUCCUUCUAGCUUCUUUGUGUUCCUCACCAAUUUUUUACACUACUAUAUUUAUGAACACGAAGACAAGUCUCUGCACAUCUUUCGUCUCACGAUCUUCUUCUAUUAUCGCAAUCUUCUAUUAUAACUAGAGAGGGCAGUGGAGAUAUAAAAAAUAAGCAAUAGUUUUUUUCUCUAAAAAAUACAUUAUAGAACUUGAAUUUGGUGGAAAAGUUGAUUAAAAAUAAAAAUUUAUUGAAAUUAUAACAUGUUCUGACCCAAAAUAUAAAACAACAAAAAAACUAAAUUUUUUAAUAAGAACGAGAAAAACAAAAUCCAUUCACUAUAUUCUUUUUUGACGUUACAUCAAAACCAACCAAUGGAAAUAAAAAAAAAAUAUCAUGGAUAGUUUUUUCUUUUGUGGUUACUAAGUUCAAAUUGAAAAUAUUCACGUGGUAACUGAAAAAAAAACACAGCAAUAAUUAUUACAUAAUCAAAUCACAAUUUUUUAAUAAAGUAAUAAAUUCUAAUAAAUAUAUUUCUAUUAGGAAAGUAAAAUAUUGUUUUUCUCAUGGAAACACACCACAAGUAAAGAAUCACAAAUUGACACAUCAUCAAAAAAUCUAAAUAUUAUAAAAUUUACCAUAUUUAGAAAUUUAACAGAAAACAUGAAUUUUAUCUUCUCCAUUAAUUUUAUUAUUGUACCUUUGAGUUUAACAUUUCUUCAAUUCUAAACUUUAACAGAGUAUUUACUAUGUUACAUGAAAGAAACCUUUUCUCUCUUCAUUUGGUAUAUGAUGCUAUAAAACUCUUUUAUCUUAAAUGAUUAUAAAGUUAUCUCAUGGCAUUCACAAAAUUGUAGUACGAAAGUUAAAACAUGUUUUUAUUAAUCCUAAACAUUAUGUUAAAUUUAAUUAAACCAACGAUAAAGCUAAUAAUAGUUCUUAAGAAAUAUGUUUGCUUUAUAAAAUUGAAAAAUCCAAACCAACUUUUUCAUAAAUAAUGCAAUGGCUUUCCAAAAAUAUAAGUGGACCAAAUAAUUUACUAAAUUUUACGCACAAUCAACGUGUUUAUAGCUAUCAGAGGAACAAGUCACUAUUACACACAUAUGUCGAAAACAUUAAUAAGUUCUACUAAGGGGCUGUUUGUUUCACCAUUUGUCAUCUCCAUCUAGAUGAUUCAUUUGCAUGAUCAAUUUAGAUGAUCCAUUCAGAUUUUUGUGACUGUUUGUUUGUCCAUCCAAAUAGCUCAUCUAGAUGAAUCAUCUAAAUGAAUCUUAUGUUUGUUUCUUUAUUUUCAUUUCCAUCUAAAUGAGUUUAGUAAACAAAUUACCAAAACACCCAUGUGUUGAUUUAACAAUAUAUUUGAUAUUAAUUUUAACUAUAUUAUAUUUAAUUAUUUAAUCUAAUAUAUUUACAUUAGAAUUAUUUCAAAAUUAACGAGUUUUUUGCGGUUUUGGGGGGUCAUUCAGAUAUUUUUUUUAUAACGGUUAUGAUCUAUUUUUUCGGUUCGGGGGUUAUGGUUCGGUUUUCGGUUUGCGGUAAAACGUCCCUGGACUAAAGCUAUGCAUGAGAUGAUUUGUUGUUUGGAUUUAAUUAUAGGUGGGGAAAACGGGUUUUUUCAGUUUUGGCAGGAAAACAAGAUUUUGUGAUUUUGGCGGUAAAACGCGUUUUUGCGGUUUUGGCGGGAAAACGAGAUUUUCGGUUUUGGCGAAAAAACGGGUUUUUCGAUUUUGGCCGGAAAACAAGAUUUUGCGAUUUUGGCGGGAAAACCCGUUUUUGCGGUUUUGGCGGAAAACGAGAUUUUCGGUUUUGGCGGAAAAACGGAAUUUUUCGAUUUUGGCCGGAAAACGAGAUUUUGCGAUUUGACGGGAAAACGCGUUUUUGCAGUUUUGGCGGGAAAAUGAAAUUUUUCGAUUUUGGCCGGAAAACGAGAUUUUGCGAUUUUGUUGGGAAAACACAUUUUGCAGUUUUUGCGGAAAAAUGAGAUUUUCGGUUUUGGUGGAAAAACACGUUUUUUUUUUGUUUUGGCAGGUAAAAAUUUCGGUUUUGACGAGAAAAGAAGAUUUUUCAUUUUGACGGAAAAACGAUAUUUUGCAAUUUUGACGGGACAACGCGUUUUGCGAUUUUUGCGAGAAAACACGGUUUUGGGGUUUUGGCGUGAAAACAUGUUUUUGUGAUUUUCGCAUGAAAACACGUUUUUCCAAUUUUGAUGGGAAAAUGCGUUUUGGGGUUUUGGCGUGAAAACAUGUUUUUGUGAUUUUCGCAUGAAAACACGUUUUUCCAAUUUUGAUGGGAAAAUGCGUUUUGGGGUUUUGACGUGAAAAAUUUGUUUUUAGGUUUUCGCGGGAAAACGCGUUUUUGUGGUUUUGUCAGUUUUCGUGUGUGACAAAAUGGUAUUAUGUUUAGGUUUGUAAUUUUUGAAUUACAUUAAGGGCAUAAUAGACAUUAUACCAUUUUGAAUGAACCAUCUCCAUUCAAAUGAUCCAAAUUGGUUCAGCUAGAUGGACUUUAAAAUUAAGCCUAAAUUUCUGAAAGUCAUUCGGAUGAUCCAUCUGAAUGAAUUGCACUUUUAGUGCCUAAACAAACAAAACUCUCAGCUUCAUCCAAAUAGCUCGCUCAUCCGGAUGGAGAAACAAACAGGGCCUAAACUAGCCAGAGAAAACUCACCACACCAUUUUAGAACCAUUUUAAAACCUGAUAAUCAAAAUGUAAAGUGAAAAUAUCACCACAAACAAUUUCAAACACAUACGACUAGUAUCUAAUAAUAUUAUGGAUGCAUUUAUUGAAGUAUUAAAUUUACGAAAAACUCAUAUCUGUUUUUUUUUCUUAGCACGUCGAGGUCACGUGUUCGAACUUUUUUGGGGGACUUUUUCUUCUAAAAAGUUUGUUAAGCUAAGCAAUGGGCCCAAACACUCGGUGUGAAAUAAAAUAGUAUGCGGGCAGCAGAUGAUGAUGAUGAUGUGUCAGAGUAGUACUAGACCGAGAUGAAGAGAACCAAAAAAGUGUCUAGAUAUCCUGUUUUAUUUUAUAUAAAAAUGUUAAAUGAAGGUUGGUAAUGUAUGAAUGCAAAAUGCUUUGCUAGAGAAUGGUGAUGGUUUGUCAUGGCAGUACACACACACUUGACACGUCAUUCCUUACUUGUGAUGUUCCUCAUAGUCUUGUUCAUCAGACUACAUUGUGAAGUUUCUACUCAAAACAGGAACUCCUUUUCCUAGUUGUAAAGUGAUAUUUUCGCUUAAAAUAAAACGAGACACGAUUGAUCGAUCAUAUGCUUUGCCUUCUUGUUAUAUUUGUGAUGGGAAAAAUAUAGGCUUUCCAGGCCCGCAUACCAAGUCCAGCAAGGAGUUGAAGAUGUUAUUUCUUUUUUGUGUAAUGUGUCGGCUGAUUUUAUAAAGAGAUAUGGGAUUAGGAAAUUAUAUCAAAUAUACAAAUCAGAGAUAAAGAGAAAAGGAAAAUAUACAAAAGCUAAUGGGAUUAGGAAAGGCAAUAGCUUUUGGUAUAAAUAUAAGACGUCUAGACCUGAUUUGAGCAUCCGAUUGAAAAGAGAGAGAGAGAGAGAUCAAGAGAAUUAGCAAUUUAAAAAGAGUGUUUUAUUGCUUCGUCUUGUGACCUUUAUCGCAUAAAGUUGGUUUAAAUCCUCUAACAAUUUG